UCGUUACGGCCCAGCCCAAAUCCCCCUGAAGUGGCUGUCCCAAAUCUCUGUCAGCUCCUCGCCGCAGCAGAUUGGCGGCGGCGCCGCUAUCCCUCGGGCGGUAAUGGUGCUCCUGUAGCCUCCUUCGUCGCCCUCCGCUCGCCGCUAGUCCUACUCCCCAAUCCCUCACACCUCUCCGACCAAGAAAACCACUCACCGGCGCGGCUGCUCCCGUUCGAAUCCGGCCUCGUCCACUACAUCCUCCCCACCAAGGACGACUUCCCACUCUCCCCGUCCGGCCUCCGGCGACGCUGACCGUGACCGCAUCAUCGAAACAUUGUUGGCAAUGGAUACAGCUGGGCAUUUCGGUGAUUUGUUAUGGAUGCCUCACAGCCAGCAGAAAAUAUCAAAAGCUUGGGAAAAUCCUGACAAUUGCUUGAAUGUGUGGUGUCAUCGUGUUGGCAUCCCAUUUGAUCCUUUGUGUAGCUCAACUUUAGAGAACCUAGGUUUUUACCAGAUUGCAAUGAUGAAGAAAAUCAAUGUCGAUAAAUAUUUGAUAUCGGCAUUGGUCAAGCGCUGGCGGCCUGAGACAAAUAGUUUUCACUUACCUGUAGGUGAAAUGACAGUUACGCUGCAAGAUGUGAGUUGUUUGUGGGGGUUGUCUAUCCAUGGUAAACAACUUAUUGGCAAAGAUGAUGCAUCAUGGUCUUAGUUAAUUGAGAGGUCGCUUGGGAUUCCCAUAGAUGAACAACACAUGAAGCAAAAGAAGAGAAAAGGCGAUGGCAAUAUUACUGUGAAGAAUUCACAAUACUCUUUAAA